UGAAAAGGCAAACCGGACGAAAGUCCGGGACGCAAAGCUCAGGAGGCUAAAGCGGGAGACCGUCAGGCCAGUCCGGCUGCCAA
rnacentral:ncRNA from 1 species